GUGUAAGGUGAUCAAAGCGUCAUCUCAGAGAUAUUCAUUUCAAUAUCGCUGUGAGUUAGAGAUAAGUGGUUUUGUCUUUAGAAGUUUCUUGAAAAGAAUAAAAUUAUAUUCUCGUUUGAGAUCGGGUUCAUUUCGCCACCAGUUUUUCGCUCCGCCUAUAAGGUGUGAUUCUUCGUUUAAAUAUAUGUAAGAGGAAAACGAGUGAAACGGUCAGGCUACGUCGCUUAAAAACCACCUGUUAAUUGGAAAGGAAAAGAGAGGCCAAAUUUCAACUAUGAAACUUAAUGCGCGUGAAUACACCAAACAAACCAAAUCGCUUAGUAAACUGUUUGAUAUUCUGUCACCUAGUGGUGUUCAUGUGAGAAAUCCUGUGAAAUCCGAUUGUGUUAAAGAACAUCAAAAUCGUGACCAGCCCCUGAGGGCAACCUUAAAUCUUUUGGGACUGCUAUUGUACAACGUAGAACUGACAAGCAACGGGUUUUGCAUGUGAUGAAAAUAUUGUGUUACGGGCACAAUAAGUUUUACACGUUGUUCAAUGGCGCUUCGCUUGGAAAAACGCCAAUCUUGCCACAAGUUCACACUGUUUUUGACGCGAAAAUAUGUUGUGAAUAGAGCUCCAGACACUGGCGAUGGUUAAAGACUGAUGUUUAGCUCAGAAUUUAAUAAAUAAACACCGCAUGUGGUACAAGGCUUUAACUGUGCAAGGGAUUAGAUGGAAUGUUUAACCAAAAGGGAACCUAUGGGUUGAAAACGCUUUUACUAUAUCGUGGCAAAAGCGAAAUUGAAUUCCACGGAAAAAAUUUAUGCCCGAAGAUUGAAAGGAAAAUUUCGCUUCAAGGAACAGGUAGCAUUCAAAAGAAGCUCUGUUCUUCAAUAGAAUUAAUAAAAAUUAGGAAUAAAAGUCGUCUUGUAUCAACAAAAAGAGUAAGUUCCCUUAAACGAAAAUGUGACUCGUUGAAAUGCAUCCAUGUCGUGAACUUGACAAAUAUUUUAAUAUUUGCGGCGCACUUAGUGGCUCAAUAACCUUGAAAUGUAAUUUUUCACCUUAAAGGACUGGCCGACCUAAAUUGGAUGAAUUAUUCAUGUCGUCUGAAAGCAAACGGGAAAAACGCUUUCCCUUUAUCUUUUACAUGACGGAAAGGUUGCUUUGUUCUACACGAAAGCUGGUGUAUAUCUUGGGUAGAUAUGAAAUGGUAUUACUGCUUGAUGGUAGUAAACGGAGAAAAAGUUUGCUACCAAAACCCGCAAUUCCUCAGUGUUCACUUGUUUAAAAUAUUUCGAGAUUAUAGAGAACAUCUGUCUAGGAGAGACAGUGUUGCUUCAAGUGCUAAAAGCAACCACACAUUAAAGUGUAAUUCGAGGCUGGUCUCCUUGUAUUUCUGGCCGGGUAUCUUUACAAAUGUAGUUCCCUCGUUUGUAGUGCUAUAGGGCCCUUCAGGAGAAACAAGACCUCACUACUCAGCGAGACAACUGAACAGUAAGCUAAAGCUUAUCGGCGGAGACGUCGCUUUGCAGCAGAAGUUCCAGUAACAGACCUUGAUGACUGGGAGGGUUAUUUUGAAGGAAUGAAUUACUAUGAGGAGCUUUUGCACAUGGUUAAGCCAGAGAGCGAGAAGGACCGUAAUUGUUCAGGUAAGCCAGGAGACGUUAGAUGGCGGGAAUGACUGCUGAUGUAUUUUAAUUAAAGGGGCGUUUUCGUCAGCAGGUCCCACUUACAAUGUCAUGGUUUAAAUGAAUUUUCUGAGCUCACCGAAGACAAGACUGAGCAGUUAUUACGAAAGAGCGGAGCUACUCAGUUCUGAAUAAUGGCAACUUGUGUUAAGACGUACCUCUCUUUACAGCGCUGUAAAAAAGUAAUUGAACAACUGUUCUCCGACUAGCAGGUGUGUUACCUUGACAAAUACGAAAGGAGCGUUCACUUGCCUUGAAAUUACAAUUGUUUCUCUGAGAAACGACCACUUUGCUCUCCGGCGAAAAAAAUUGCAAUAACCGUUGUACUGAGGUUCAAUGAAAUAUCAAAAGGUAACAAUAACAUUUUUGUGAUAUUUCACUGCUACCGGGGAAAUAAGUAAAGCAAAUGAAACCCGAUCGCACGUAACCAACAGGCGGUUUCCUUGGAUGUCAAACCCUUUCUUCUCCGAUCCACGACUGAAUGCAAAUAAGAACUCCUAACCAUCGAAUUCGAUUGACAUACAAAUAUUUGGAAACAGAGUGGUCAUCUAAUAUUUUAAAAGUAAAAGAAAAAGGCAACAUCACAAAUCGACGUUUCGAAAAUGUUUAAAGAAAAAAAUUUAUGUCAGAUUUGAAUGUUGUCUGUCCAUUGCAACGGAUUUACCAGCGUUGUCGCAUUCACCAGGGAAAAUACGUCUCUUGGACAGCCCAGGACAAUGAAUAAAUAAGCAAUUGUUUCUGUGGUGAAGGCAAAACAACAUUUUCGCUUUUGGCGUCAUAACAGCUGCUUAAAAAUGCAUUCUACCUGUUUUCAUGGAACGCAGUGACACUCCCAAAAGGUUACGUAGGGUGCCAACUUGACAACGGCUAGGCAGCUCCGAGGGUUAAAAAAAAAAGAUAAUUAUCGAGGAAGAAAUAGAUCAUUUAGAGAGAAAAUAGUGAGUUGAGGUACAAAAGCUUUCUAAAAGUUCUCUUCACAUGCACUUAAAACGUCAGAUAUUUGUUACGCGAAGUGUUUUUCUUUUAUUUCCCGCUGCUAACCUUGUAUUGUACAAUCGAAGAAAGUAUACCGGACAAUGUCUGUAUAUGAGUAAACUGAAUUUAGGACCUUAGGGAAGAACAGUUUAUGAUACCGCAGCGAAAAUGUAAAAUAUAUAUUUUACAUAUAUUCAUGGUCCUCGAAGGGGGUGAGAAGAAAGAAUUCCGUUUUCGAACUUAUUUCAGUCAAAGAGUGAAUUCUAAUGAAGUUUGAAGUUAUUAAAGUAAUUUUUAUGUAUAAACUAAGUGCAAAAGUAAGGGUCAAGCGAUAAAACCUCUGCAAUUUUUGUCAUUAAAAGGAAGCACGUUUUUUGCUAAGGUUUCAUAUUACCCAGAGUCUUCAGUCGGGAGAUGAGAAGUUGUAAUGAAUUUUUGCUGUAAUAUCGGUACUUGUGAGUUGGUAGCGUAAUUGGCUGACGCAGACUGCACCAGAAUUUUGUCCAAUAGAUUUAAUUUUUGGCAAGCCAUUUUCCACGUGCGAGACGAACUCUUAAGAUUCAAGAGUCUUUGAAGGAAAUGCAAAGAGUCCUGGAUAAGAGCCAAAGAAGCGGAAAAAUAGCUACUCUUCAAGAAGAGAUUCCUACCUUCAGCUGUGCUGUGGAAGGCGCAUGCGAUGUUUUCCUUAAAGCUCGAGUUGGGUGGCUUAAAACGGUUUUAUAACAAACGCGGACCGUUUCAACUUGGUUUCCUGCCUCAGCUUGCUGCAGGGAAAAUGGGAAAUCGUGCUAGGGAGAUAAGUAUCUGAUUUAAAUAUAACUUGUGACAUGUGCCAUUCAUAAAUCAUUAAGAAACCCACUUUUAAAAGGGCGCACGUUGGAGAACCUUUUAAAACCUACAUUUGGCGGUUUCUUCCAAAGAACUUCGGAACUGGAAUUUUUUCGUUUGGGAGUUUGGCCUCAAUGAUUUACAGCUUAAACAAGAGGAAAUCGAAAAGACUGCACGCAUAUUCCUGAGUUCAUUUCCAGUUCUCCAAAUGCGGCUAAAAUGGCCCCAAACUGUCUAAGUCAACAUAGCUGCCCAAAUUAGCAGCUGACAAAGCAACAGCAGCAUUAGAACUUUUAAGCAAAACAAAAGCCUGCUUUCCCAAACAAUAAAGACUAGACACAUUUGGUUAGUCCCUGCCACACAGAAAAGUCAACUUUCUCUUUAAAACUUAUAGGAUGUGUGUUUUUCUUUUAUGUUUCAACAAGGAACAACUUGAAAUUUCAAGAAGGCUUGCCUAUGAAAUUGACUGCCAUUUAGAUUUUAGCAGAGACUAAAAGGCGGUCGAUACGACAGACACAAGGCCAAACCAAAAAGCUUAUUUGCGUUCUCUUUGAAUGCCGCAUUUAAAAUUCGUGUAUGCACAAAAAUAUCGUGGCAGUUUACCAAAAGAAGCUGUGAACAGGAAAUUCUCGGCAAACUGUAAAUACAGUUUACAGAGUCGAGGUGUAAAGACCACGCGGUCUAUUGUUGAGUUCCUUUUGUCCAAAAACACAAAAACAAUGGCGGCCUGCUAACUGUAACUACACGCUUCUUUCACGUUUUAGAUUACUCUUUAAUUUUGUUAUGAAAACAAAAUGCACUCUUCUUGUCGUGAACAAAUAUCUCAUUCAGCCGGCACAAAAGGAAAUUACACUUUCUAAAGCCGGUUAUUUUGCCUCGAUUAGUGAGCUAAUUUCACUGGAAUGGUGCAAUACCUUUAUUGUGGGUUGUGACUCUCCGUGUCUGCAGGGAAUGCGCUGAUCUGAGGUACGUUACGAGAACAUCGUUGUCAAAACUUGGGUACUUUUAAAAAUGGGAACUUUACAGCUGAUGUCAACAAAGAUUAAUUCGUCUUCCUUUCAUAAAAUGCCCUGACUUUUGAAGAUAAACUUUCCGAUUUACUUUAGUCCUCGUAAUGGCUUCCUACGGGCGUAUUACGUUUCUCUGUUUCCAUUCCAAAUGAUGGCAUUGUUUUUUUUUUCCUUCCCCUGUACAUCCUAAGUGGACAAGUGUGAGGAAAAAAUCUCGAGCAAUUUCUUGCUAUGAAAACAAACAACAAAGAGCUCGUCUUAACAUUAUUGUUGACCUAGAAUGGCUUCGCCCCAAGCCAAUGAAAUCCCUUGCUCGACAUCAAAUGAGUUUCAAAGUUUGCACAACGCAACUUUAUUAAUCGAACAUUUCCACUUUACAAACAUAAUACAAGGCUCUGCACGAAUCAAUGCAAGCAUUAAAAAGGGACAACUGAGUACACAGUGCGAUUCAACUUUUUUCCUGUUCUGUUCAAAAUAGCGCAACUUGUAUAUAUCUGAAGUGUACGAUGUUGGGGGAAAACAAAUACAAGUAAAGUAGCGUUGUACAACUACAGAAUAAUCUGAAUGGAUUAAGCAACAUUGAAAACGUUUCUAAAGCAAGUUUUAAUUUCGCUGACAAAAUGCAUUUGGAAUUGCUAAAAAUAUUGUAAAUUAGUACAGUGUGGGGAAAUUUUACGAUUUCUACAAAAAAAAA
rnacentral:misc_RNA from 1 species